UCUCCUUUUUCCAUCAUGUGGGUUGUGGACGCUUGUCUUCUCCUUGAUUUCAACAGUGCAAUUCAACAGCAACCAUGUAUGAUUUCACGGACAAUGGCUAGGAACCUUUUUUCUGUGGUAAAUAUACAAUUAAUAUACACAUAUUUCACUGUAAUUGCUGGUGUACUUUGACUUGAUGAAAUGUUUUUGGGAGGUGGGUUGUAUUGCUUUAUUCUUUUUUAUCAGCAGAGUUAUGAAGAAAACUAAUGCAGGAUAGCCAUCAAAAUAUGUAAGAACCCUCUCACCUCACAAUAUAUUUUGCUAUGGUGAAAACAGUUUGACAUGGAGAUGUUGGUGGACUAAGCUUAAGUUGGGGUGUCUGGGGAGACUGUCCUUUGUUGGAAUUAGUUACAGAUCUAUUAAAGUAUAAUGGCGAGAGCAGUGAAGAAGCAGAGGUGCAUUGCAGUUUCUCUUUUAGAUGAGGUGAGUGCAGAAAGGCUUUUCCAGCUUGAUAUUUUUCAGAUCCAUUUGUCAAGAGUGGCUCUCCGCUAGACAAAGUGGUUGAGGAAGGCAGCCCCCACAAAAUGCAAGUAAUAUACACUAUUGUUGUUGAGCAACAGUGUUUUCCAUCAUGUGGGUUGUGGACGCUUGUCUUCUCCUUGAUUUCAACAGCAACCAUGUAUGAUUUCACUGACAAUGGCUAGGAACCUUUUUUAUGUGGUAAAUAUACAAUUAAUAUACACAUAUUUCACUGUAAUUGCUGGUGUACUUUGACUUGAUGAAAUGUUUUUGGGAGGUGGGUUGUAUUGCUUUAUUCUUUUUUAUCAGCAGAGUUAUGAAGAAAACUAAUGCAGGCUAGCCAUCAAAAUAUGUAAGAACCCUCUCAUCUCAAUAUAUUUUGCUAUGGUGAAAACUGUUUGACAUGGAGAUGUUGGUGGACUAAGCUUAAGUUGGGGUGUCUGGGGAGACUGUCCUUUGUUGGAAUUAGUUACAGAUCUAUUAAAGGAUAAUGGCGAGAGCAGUGAAGAAGCAGAGGUGCAUUGCAGUUUCUCUUUUAGAUGAGGUGAGUGCAGAAAGGCUUUUCCAGCUUGAUAUUUUUCAGAUCCAUUUGUCAAGAGUGGCUCUCCGCUAGACAAAGUGGUUGAGGAAGGCAGCCCCCACAAAAUGCAAGUAAUAUACACUAUUGUUGUUGAGCAACAGUGUUUUCCAUCAUGUGGGUUGUGGACGCUUGUCUUCUCCUUGAUUUCAACAGCAACCAUGUAUGAUUUCACUGACAAUGGCUAGGAACCUUUUUUAUGUGGUAAAUAUACAAUUAAUAUACACAUAUUUCACUGUAAUUGCUGGUGUACGUUGACUCGAUUAAAUGUUUUUGGGAGGUGGGUUGUAUUGCUUUAUUCUUUUUUAUCAGCAGAGUUAUGAAGAAAACUAAUGCAGGCUAGCCAUCAAAAUAUGUAAGAACCCUCUCAUCUCAAUAUAUUUUGCUAUGGUGAAAACAGUUUGACAUGGAGAUGUUGGUGGACUAAGCUUAAGUUGGGGUGUCUGGGGAGACUGUCCUUUGUUGGAAUUAGUUACAGAUCUAUUAAAGGAUAAUGGCGAGAGCAGAGGUGCAUUGCAGUUUCUCUUUUAGAUGAGGUGAGUGCAGAAAGGCUUUUCCAGCUUGAUAUUUUUCAGAUCCAUUUGUCAAGAGUGGCUCUCCGCUAGACAAAGUGGUUGAGGAAGGCAGCCCCCACAAAAUGCAAGUAAUAUACACUAUUGUUGUUGAGCAACAGUGUUUUCCAUCAUGUGGGUUGUGGACGCUUGUCUUCUCCUUGAUUUCAACAGCAACCAUGUAUGAUUUCACUGACAAUGGCUAGGAACCUUUUUUAUGUGGUAAAUAUACAAUUAAUAUACACAUAUUUCACUGUAAUUGCUGGUGUACUUUGACUUGAUGAAAUGUUUUUGGGAGGUGGGUUGUAUUGCUUUAUUCUUUUUUAUCAGCAGAGUUAUGAAGAAAACUAAUGCAGGCUAGCCAUCAAAAUAUGUAAGAACCCUCUCAUCUCAAUAUAUUUUGCUAUGGUGAAAACAGUUUGACAUGGAGAUGUUGGUGGACUAAGCUUAAGUUGGGGUGUCUGGGGAGACUGUCCUUUGUUGGAAUUAGUUACAGAUCUAUUAAAGUAUAAUGGCGAGAGCAGUGAAGAAGCAGAGGUGCAUUGCAGUUUCUCUUUUAGAUGAGGUGAGUGCAGAAAGGCUUUUCCAGCUUGAUAUUUUUCAGAUCCAUUUGUCAAGAGUGGCUCUCCGCUAGACAAAGUGGUUGAGGAAGGCAGCCCCCACAAAAUGCAAGUAAUAUACACUAUUGUUGUUGAGCAACAGUGUUUUCCAUCAUGUGGGUUGUGGACGCUUGUCUUCUCCUUGAUUUCAACAGCAACCAUGUAUGAUUUCACUGACAAUGGCUAGGAACCUUUUUUAUGUGGUAAAUAUACAAUUAAUAUACACAUAUUUCACUGUAAUUGCUGGUGUACUUUGACUUGAUGAAAUGUUUUUGGGAGGUGGGUUGUAUUGCUUUAUUCUUUUUUAUCAGCAGAGUUAUGAAGAAAACUAAUGCAGGCUAGCCAUCAAAAUAUGUAAGAACCCUCUCAUCUCAAUAUAUUUUGCUAUGGUGAAAACAGUUUGACAUGGAGAUGUUGGUGGACUAAGCUUAAGUUGGGGUGUCUGGGGAGACUGUCCUUUGUUGGAAUUAGUUACAGAUCUAUUAAAGGAUAAUGGCGAGAGCAGUGAAGAAGCAGAGGUGCAUUGCAGUUUCUCUUUUAGAUGAGGUGAGUGCAGAAAGGCUUUUCCAGCUUGAUAUUUUUCAGAUCCAUUUGUCAAGAGUGGCUCUCCGCUUGACAAAGUGGUUGAGGAAGGCAGCCCCCACAAAAUGCAAGUAAUAUACACUAUUGUUGUUGAGCAACAGUGUUUUCCAUCAUGUGGGUUGUGGACGCUUGUCUUCUCCUUGAUUUCAACAGCAACCAUGUAUGAUUUCACUGACAAUGGCUAGGAACCUUUUUUAUGUGGUAAAUAUACAAUUAAUAUACACAUAUUUCACUGUAAUUGCUGGUGUACGUUGACUUGAUGAAAUGUUUUUGGGAGGUGGGUUGUAUUGCUUUAUUCUUUUUUAUCAGCAGAGUUAUGAAGAAAACUAAUGCAGGAUAGCCAUCAAAAUAUGUAAGAACCCUCUCAUCUCAAUAUAUUUUGCUAUGGUGAAAACAGUUUGACAUGGAGAUGUUGGUGGACUAAGCUUAAGUUGGGGUGUCUGGGGAGACUGUCCUUUGUUGGAAUUAGUUACAGAUCUAUUAAAGGAUAAUGGCGAGAGCAGAGGUGCAUUGCAGUUUCUCUUUUAGAUGAGGUGAGUGCAGAAAGGCUUUUCCAGCUUGAUAUUUUUCAGAUCCAUUUGUCAAGAGUGGCUCUCCGCUAGACAAAGUGGUUGAGGAAGGCAGCCCCCACAAAAUGCAAGUAAUAUACACUAUUGUUGUUGAGCAACAGUGUUUUCCAUCAUGUGGGUUGUGGACGCUUGUCUUCUCCUUGAUUUCAACAGUGCAAUUCAACAGCAACCAUGUAUGAUUUCACGGACAAUGGCUAGGAACCUUUUUUCUGUGGUAAAUAUACAAUUAAUAUACACAUAUUUCACUGUAAUUGCUGGUGUACGUUGACUUGAUGAAAUGUUUUUGGGAGGUGGGUUGUAUUGCUUUAUUCUUUUUUAUCAGCAGAGUUAUGAAGAAAACUAAUGCAGGAUAGCCAUCAAAAUAUGUAAGAACCCUCUCAUCUCACAAUAUAUUUUGCUAUGGUGAAAACAGUUUGACAUGGAGAUGUUGGUGGACUAAGCUUAAGUUGGGGUGUCUGGGGAGACUGUCCUUUGUUGGAAUUAGUUACAGAUCUAUUAAAGGAUAAUGGCGAGAGCAGUGAAGAAGCAGAGGUGCAUUGCAGUUUCUCUUUUAGAUGAGGUGAGUGCAGAAAGGCUUUUCCAGCUUGAUAUUUUUUAGAUCCAUUUGUCAAGAGUGGCUCUCCGCUAGACAAAGUGGUUGAGGAAGGCAGCCCCCACAAAAUGCAAGUAAUAUACACUAUUGUUGUUGAGCAACAGUGUUUUCCAUCAUGUGGGUUGUGGACGCUUGUCUUCUCCUUGAUUUCAACAGCAACCAUGUAUGAUUUCACUGACAAUGGCUAGGAACCUAUUUUAUGUGGUAAAUAUACAAUUAAUAUACACAUAUUUCACUGUAAUUGCUGGUGUACUUUGACUUGAUGAAAUGUUUUUGGGAGGUGGGUUGUAUUGCUUUAUUCUUUUUUAUCAGCAGAGUUAUGAAGAAAACUAAUGCAGGCUAGCCAUCAAAAUAUGUAAGAACCCUCUCAUCUCAAUAUAUUUUGCUAUGGUGAAAACUGUUUGACAUGGAGAUGUUGGUGGACUAAGCUUAAGUUGGGGUGUCUGGGGAGACUGUCCUUUGUUGGAAUUAGUUACAGAUCUAUUAAAGGAUAAUGGCGAGAGCAGUGAAGAAGCAGAGGUGCAUUGCAGUUUCUCUUUUAGAUGAGGUGAGUGCAGAAAGGCUUUUCCAGCUUGAUAUUUUUCAGAUCCAUUUGUCAAGAGUGGCUCUCCGCUAGACAAAGUGGUUGAGGAAGGCAGCCCCCACAAAAUGCAAGUAAUAUACACUAUUGUUGUUGAGCAACAGUGUUUUCCAUCAUGUGGGUUGUGGACGCUUGUCUUCUCCUUGAUUUCAACAGCAACCAUGUAUGAUUUCACUGACAAUGGCUAGGAACCUUUUUUAUGUGGUAAAUAUACAAUUAAUAUACACAUAUUUCACUGUAAUUGCUGGUGUACGUUGACUCGAUUAAAUGUUUUUGGGAGGUGGGUUGUAUUGCUUUAUUCUUUUUUAUCAGCAGAGUUAUGAAGAAAACUAAUGCAGGAUAGCCAUCAAAAUAUGUAAGAACCCUCUCAUCUCAAUAUAUUUUGCUAUGGUGAAAACUGUUUGACAUGGAGAUGUUGGUGGACUAAGCUUAAGUUGGGGUGUCUGGGGAGACUGUCCUUUGUUGGAAUUAGUUACAGAUCUAUUAAAGGAUAAUGGCGAGAGCAGUGAAGAAGCAGAGGUGCAUUGCAGUUUCUCUUUUAGAUGAGGUGAGUGCAGAAAGGCUUUUCCAGCUUGAUAUUUUUCAGAUCCAUUUGUCAAGAGUGGCUCUCCGCUAGACAAAGUGGUUGAGGAAGGCAGCCCCCACAAAAUGCAAGUAAUAUACACUAUUGUUGUUGAGCAACAGUGUUUUCCAUCAUGUGGGUUGUGGACGCUUGUCUUCUCCUUGAUUUCAACAGCAACCAUGUAUGAUUUCACUGACAAUGGCUAGGAACCUUUUUUAUGUGGUAAAUAUACAAUUAAUAUACACAUAUUUCACUGUAAUUGCUGGUGUACUUUGACUUGAUGAAAUGUUUUUGGGAGGUGGGUUGUAUUGCUUUAUUCUUUUUUAUCAGCAGAGUUAUGAAGAAAACUAAUGCAGGCUAGCCAUCAAAAUAUGUAAGAACCCUCUCAUCUCAAUAUAUUUUGCUAUGGUGAAAACUGUUUGACAUGGAGAUGUUGGUGGACUAAGCUUAAGUUGGGGUGUCUGGGGAGACUGUCCUUUGUUGGAAUUAGUUACAGAUCUAUUAAAGGAUAAUGGCGAGAGCAGUGAAGAAGCAGAGGUGCAUUGCAGUUUCUCUUUUAGAUGAGGUGAGUGCAGAAAGGCUUUUCCAGCUUGAUAUUUUUCAGAUCCAUUUGUCAAGAGUGGCUCUCCGCUUGACAAAGUGGUUGAGGAAGGCAGCCCCCACAAAAUGCAAGUAAUAUACACUAUUGUUGUUGAGCAACAGUGUUUUCCAUCAUGUGGGUUGUGGACGCUUGUCUUCUCCUUGAUUUCAACAGUGCAAUUCAACAGCAACCAUGUAUGAUUUCACGGACAAUGGCUAGGAACCUUUUUUCUGUGGUAAAUAUACAAUUAAUAUACACAUAUUUCACUGUAAUUGCUGGUGUACGUUGACUUGAUGAAAUGUUUUUGGGAGGUGGGUUGUAUUGCUUUAUUCUUUUUUAUCAGCAGAGUUAUGAAGAAAACUAAUGCAGGAUAGCCAUCAAAAUAUGUAAGAACCCUCUCAUCUCACAAUAUAUUUUGCUAUGGUGAAAACUGUUUGACAUGGAGAUGUUGGUGGACUAAGCUUAAGUUGGGGUGUCUGGGGAGACUGUCCUUUGUUGGAAUUAGUUACAGAUCUAUUAAAGGAUAAUGGCGAGAGCAGUGAAGAAGCAGAGGUGCAUUGCAGUUUCUCUUUUAGAUGAGGUGAGUGCAGAAAGGCUUUUCCAGCUUGAUAUUUUUCAGAUCCAUUUGUCAAGAGUGGCUCUCCGCUAGACAAAGUGGUUGAGGAAGGCAGCCCCCACAAAAUGCAAGUAAUAUACACUAUUGUUGUUGAGCAACAGUGUUUUCCAUCAUGUGGGUUGUGGACGCUUGUCUUCUCCUUGAUUUCAACAGCAACCAUGUAUGAUUUCACUGACAAUGGCUAGGAACCUUUUUUAUGUGGUAAAUAUACAAUUAAUAUACACAUAUUUCACUGUAAUUGCUGGUGUACGUUGACUCGAUUAAAUGUUUUUGGGAGGUGGGUUGUAUUGCUUUAUUCUUUUUUAUCAGCAGAGUUAUGAAGAAAACUAAUGCAGGAUAGCCAUCAAAAUAUGUAAGAACCCUCUCAUCUCAAUAUAUUUUGCUAUGGUGAAAACAAUUUGACAUGGAGAUGUUGGUGGACUAAGCUUAAGUUGGGGUGUCUGGGGAGACUGUCCUUUGUUGGAAUUAGUUACAGAUCUAUUAAAGGAUAAUGGCGAGAGCAGUGAAGAAGCAGAGGUGCAUUGCAGUUUCUCAUUUAGAUGAGGUGAGUGCAGAAAGGCUUUUCCAGCUUGAUAUUUUUCAGAUCCAUUUGUCAAGAGUGGCUCUCCGCUAGACAAAGUGGUUGAGGAAGGCAGCCCCCACAAAAUGCAAGUAAUAUACACUAUUGUUGUUGAGCAACAGUGUUUUCCAUCAUGUGGGUUGUGGACGCUUGUCUUCUCCUUGAUUUCAACAGCAACCAUGUAUGAUUUCACUGACAAUGGCUAGGAACCUUUUUUAUGUGGUAAAUAUACAAUUAAUAUACACAUAUUUCACUGUAAUUGCUGGUGUACUUUGACUUGAUGAAAUGUUUUUGGGAGGUGGGUUGUAUUGCUUUAUUCUUUUUUAUCAGCAGAGUUAUGAAGAAAACUAAUGCAGGCUAGCCAUCAAAAUAUGUAAGAACCCUCUCAUCUCAAUAUAUUUUGCUAUGGUGAAAACAGUUUGACAUGGAGAUGUUGGUGGACUAAGCUUAAGUUGGGGUGUCUGGGGAGACUGUCCUUUGUUGGAAUUAGUUACAGAUCUAUUAAAGGAUAAUGGCGAGAGCAGUGAAGAAGCAGAGGUGCAUUGCAGUUUCUCUUUUAGAUGAGGUGAGUGCAGAAAGGCUUUUCCAGCUUGAUAUUUUUCAGAUCCAUUUGUCAAGAGUGGCUCUCCGCUUGACAAAGUGGUUGAGGAAGGCAGCCCCCACAAAAUGCAAGUAAUAUACACUAUUGUUGUUGAGCAACAGUGUUUUCCAUCAUGUGGGUUGUGGACGCUUGUCUUCUCCUUGAUUUCAACAGUGCAAUUCAACAGCAACCAUGUAUGAUUUCACGGACAAUGGCUAGGAACCUUUUUUCUGUGGUAAAUAUACAAUUAAUAUACACAUAUUUCACUGUAAUUGCUGGUGUACGUUGACUUGAUGAAAUGUUUUUGGGAGGUGGGUUGUAUUGCUUUAUUCUUUUUUAUCAGCAGAGUUAUGAAGAAAACUAAUGCAGGAUAGCCAUCAAAAUAUGUAAGAACCCUCUCAUCUCACAAUAUAUUUUGCUAUGGUGAAAACAGUUUGACAUGGAGAUGUUGGUGGACUAAGCUUAAGUUGGGGUGUCUGGGGAGACUGUCCUUUGUUGGAAUUAGUUACAGAUCUAUUAAAGGAUAAUGGCGAGAGCAGUGAAGAAGCAGAGGUGCAUUGCAGUUUCUCUUUUAGAUGAGGUGAGUGCAGAAAGGCUUUUCCAGCUUGAUAUUUUUAGAUCCAUUUGUCAAGAGUGGCUCUCCGCUAGACAAAGUGGUUGAGGAAGGCAGCCCCCACAAAAUGCAAGUAAUAUACACUAUUGUUGUUGAGCAACAGUGUUUUCCAUCAUGUGGGUUGUGGACGCUUGUCUUCUCCUUGAUUUCAACAGCAACCAUGUAUGAUUUCACUGACAAUGGCUAGGAACCUUUUUUAUGUGGUAAAUAUACAAUUAAUAUACACAUAUUUCACUGUAAUUGCUGGUGUACUUUGACUUGAUGAAAUGUUUUUGGGAGGUGGGUUGUAUUGCUUUAUUCUUUUUUAUCAGCAGAGUUAUGAAGAAAACUAAUGCAGGCUAGCCAUCAAAAUAUGUAAGAACCCUCUCAUCUCAAUAUAUUUUGCUAUGGUGAAAACAGUUUGACAUGGAGAUGUUGGUGGACUAAGCUUAAGUUGGGGUGUCUGGGGAGACUGUCCUUUGUUGGAAUUAGUUACAGAUCUAUUAAAGGAUAAUGGCGAGAGCAGUGAAGAAGCAGAGGUGCAUUGCAGUUUCUCUUUUAGAUGAGGUGAGUGCAGAAAGGCUUUUCCAGCUUGAUAUUUUUCAGAUCCAUUUGUCAAGAGUGGCUCUCCGCUCGACAAUGUGGUUGAGGAAGGCAGCCCCCACAAAAUGCAAGUAAUAUACACUAUUGUUGUUGAGCAACAGUGUUUUCCAUCAUGUGGGUUGUGGACGCUUGUCUUCUCCUUGAUUUCAACAGUGCAAUUCAACAGCAACCAUGUAUGAUUUCACGGACAAUGGCUAGGAACCUUUUUUCUGUGGUAAAUAUACAAUUAAUAUACACAUAUUUCACUGUAAUUGCUGGUGUACGUUGACUUGAUGAAAUGUUUUUGGGAGGUGGGUUGUAUUGCUUUAUUCUUUUUUAUCAGCAGAGUUAUGAAGAAAACUAAUGCAGGAUAGCCAUCAAAAUAUGUAAGAACCCUCUCACCUCACAAUAUAUUUUGCUAUGGUGAAAACAGUUUGACAUGGAGAUGUUGGUGGACUAAGCUUAAGUUGGGGUGUCUGGGGAGACUGUCCUUUGUUGGAAUUAGUUACAGAUCUAUUAAAGGAUAAUGGCGAGAGCAGUGAAGAAGCAGAGGUGCAUUGCAGUUUCUCUUUUAGAUGAGGUGAGUGCAGAAAGGCUUUUCCAGCUUGAUAUUUUUCAGAUCCAUUUGUCAAGAGUGGCUCUCCGCUAGACAAAGUGGUUGAGGAAGGCAGCCCCCACAAAAUGCAAGUAAUAUACACUAUUGUUGUUGAGCAACAGUGUUUUCCAUCAUGUGGGUUGUGGACGCUUGUCUUCUCCUUGAUUUCAACAGCAACCAUGUAUGAUUUCACUGACAAUGGCUAGGAACCUAUUUUAUGUGGUAAAUAUACAAUUAAUAUACACAUAUUUCACUGUAAUUGCUGGUGUACUUUGACUUGAUGAAAUGUUUUUGGGAGGUGGGUUGUAUUGCUUUAUUCUUUUUUAUCAGCAGAGUUAUGAAGAAAACUAAUGCAGGCUAGCCAUCAAAAUAUGUAAGAACCCUCUCAUCUCAAUAUAUUUUGCUAUGGUGAAAACAAUUUGACAUGGAGAUGUUGGUGGACUAAGCUUAAGUUGGGGUGUCUGGGGAGACUGUCCUUUGUUGGAAUUAGUUACAGAUCUAUUAAAGGAUAAUGGCGAGAGCAGUGAAGAAGCAGAGGUGCAUUGCAGUUUCUCAUUUAGAUGAGGUGAGUGCAGAAAGGCUUUUCCAGCUUGAUAUUUUUCAGAUCCAUUUGUCAAGAGUGGCUCUCCGCUUGACAAAGUGGUUGAGGAAGGCAGCCCCCACAAAAUGCAAGUAAUAUACACUAUUGUUGUUGAGCAACAGUGUUUUCCAUCAUGUGGGUUGUGGACGCUUGUCUUCUCCUUGAUUUCAACAGUGCAAUUCAACAGCAACCAUGUAUGAUUUCACGGACAAUGGCUAGGAACCUUUUUUCUGUGGUAAAUAUACAAUUAAUAUACACAUAUUUCACUGUAAUUGCUGGUGUACUUUGACUUGAUGAAAUGUUUUUGGGAGGUGGGUUGUAUUGCUUUAUUCUUUUUUAUCAGCAGAGUUAUGAAGAAAACUAAUGCAGGAUAGCCAUCAAAAUAUGUAAGAACCCUCUCAUCUCACAAUAUAUUUUGCUAUGGUGAAAACAGUUUGACAUGGAGAUGUUGGUGGACUAAGCUUAAGUUGGGGUGUCUGGGGAGACUGUCCUUUGUUGGAAUUAGUUACAGAUCUAUUAAAGGAUAAUGGCGAGAGCAGAGGUGCAUUGCAGUUUCUCUUUUAGAUGAGGUGAGUGCAGAAAGGCUUUUCCAGCUUGAUAUUUUUAGAUCCAUUUGUCAAGAGUGGCUCUCCGCUAGACAAAGUGGUUGAGGAAGGCAGCCCCCACAAAAUGCAAGUAAUAUACACUAUUGUUGUUGAGCAACAGUGUUUUCCAUCAUGUGGGUUGUGGACGCUUGUCUUCUCCUUGAU